rnacentral:tRNA from 1 species
UAACAUAAUGGAAAUGUAUCGGACUGCAAAUCCUGGAAUGACGGUUCGAUCCCGUC